CGGCGUGCCUAACACAUGCAAGUCGAACGAAGCUUGACGGAUGAUUUCUUCGGAAUGAAACCUGAUAUGACUUAGUGGCGGACGGGUGAGUAACACGUGAGCAACCUGCCUUUCAGAGGGGGAUAACGGCUGGAAACGGUCGCUAAUACCGCAUGAUGUGUUCGGAUGGCAUCAUCUGAACAUCAAAGAUUUAUCGCUGAAAGAUGGGCUCGCGUCUGAUUAGAUAGUUGGUGGGGUAACGGCCUACCAAGUCUACGAUCAGUAGCCGGACUGAGAGGUUGAACGGCCACAUUGGGACUGAGAUACGGCCCAGACUCCUACGGGAGGCAGCAGUGGGGAAUAUUGCACAAUGGGGGAAACCCUGAUGCAGCAACGCCGCGUGAAGGAUGACGGUUUUCGGAUUGUAAACUUCUUUUCUUAGUGACGAAGACAGUGACGGUAGCUAAGGAAUAAGCAUCGGCUAACUACGUGCCAGCAGCCGCGGUAAUACGUAGGAUGCAAGCGUUAUCCGGAUUUACUGGGUGUAAAGGGAGCGCAGGCGGGACUGCAAGUUGGAUGUGAAAUACCGUGGCUUAACCACGGAACUGCAUCCAAAACUGUAGUUCUUGAGUGAAGUAGAGGCAAGCGGAAUUCCGAGUGUAGCGGUGAAAUGCGUAGAUAUUCGGAGGAACACCAGUGGCGAAGGCGGCUUGCUGGGCUUUAACUGACGCUGAGGCUCGAAAGUGUGGGGAGCAAACAGGAUUAGAUACCCUGGUAGUCCACACUGUAAACGAUGAUAGCUAGGUGUGGGGGGUCUGACCCCUUCCGUGCCGGAGUUAACGCAAUAAGCUAUCCACCUGGGGAGUACGACCGCAAGGUUGAAACUCAAAUGAAUUGACGG
rnacentral:rRNA from 1 species